AGGACAAUCUCUCUUCUGUUCCUAAAGUUAGGUCUUUGAAUAGAGGUAUUUAAGUAAAGUAACGAAUAGACACCAACUACUGCGACACCUCCACCUCCCACUGGCAGAACCCGUGGCCUGAUGGGUUUCCCAUUCCAACGUUCUUUCACAACUCAUACCUGGCUUUGAGACCCAGGGCACUGAGAUUUUAUCUGAGAGAAGGUAAACUAUCUGCAACCCUGAGUGUGAAAUCCGACAUUCUACCGUCUGAGAGGCAGAAAAGAGACCGUUUCAGACCAUAAAUAAAUCGACAGGCAGAACAUUUAGUUGGCAAAGGAAGGAGGUUGCGGUCCAGUCUCCAGGGGUUGCAGCGUUGCAGAAUAGCUGGUUGACUCUUUUUCAACUAGACCAGGCACGCUUACAACUUCACAACACCAGGACUUGUCACCUGCCCACACUGCCAAGAGCGGAGUCAGUGACCACGGUGUUACUGUUCUUCACCGGCCAGCACAGAGUAUAUGGACCGUUGUCAUCAGGAAGGUACCAGACCCAAAGGCAGACGACCUGAUGGCAGCCAUCAAAGCAACAUUACAGCUUUGCGGUGUCACAGGCUGAUGGUGCACUGAAGCAGACGUCCAUGUCAGAGGAAUCUCCGUCUGAGUCUCUCCAGAUUGAAUUGAGUGCAUAGAAAUAUACGUGCUUUCCAGAAGCCUGACACUCAUGCUGUGAUUGUUCUGAAGAGAUAUUUAAAUUUU